GUUGGACACAAUAUUUUAUUUAUUUUUAUGUGGUGCUGAGGAUCAAACCCAGGGCCUGGUACAUGCUAGGUGAGCACUCUACCACUGAGCCACAACCCCAGCCCAUACAGGUAGUUUUUUAUUCUGAGGACUGAGUACAAGCUCUGGAGCCAGCCUGCCACUUUCCAGCUGUGCAAUCACAGGAAAUUAGUAUGUGUUUUCAGUUUUCUCAUUCAUAAAAUUGGUGUAAUACCUCUUAGGAUGUCAGAUACAGAUUGGGACUUAUGAAGAUACCUUAUAGAAGCUGCAGCAUUUGGUCAAAGGAAGUACCAGCCUACCAGGAUCUACAGGGAAGAAAGUUAGGGAAUCAGCAUUCCUCUUUUAUUCUUUUUCCUCUGGGAUCUACUGCUGAUGCCCUGUAUUAGCCAAAUCUACUGGAAGCCAGAGGAACAAAGGAGUCUUUUGACAUGGUUAGCAUAGCAAUUUCCUUGGACACAAAGCAGACUUCAGAAGUAUGGAGGUGAAUCUGGAAAGACAAAGGGAGAUCUCCACCACAGCACUUUCUUCAAUGUGCCAGGUAUCUCUCUUGUUCAUCCUCCACACAGAGGAAAAAACAAAACAAAACAACCCCUACUAUUUAGCAAGGGUCAAUAAGGGAUAGAAGGUAUGUGCAGUUGGACAGAGGAUCUUAGGAUCUGCUUAAGUGGAAUCCAACAAAUUAAUUCAACUACUCCCUUUCACCCUUAGGGAUGUAUCUAGUACCAACUCUUAUGUAGUGUAAGUUCAAUUAAUUUUUGCCUGUUUCUCAUGACUCACAAUGAUGCACUUAGUUACUGCAUUAUUUAAACUAAUUACCCACUUACUUACCACCUUCCAAAUUGUCAUUGCUUUUGUUUUGUUGCUUUUUUUGUUUUUAAUUGCUUUCCUAUUCUGUCAGUACCUGUGGGUUACAGUUACUAUAGCUGGAUAGGGAUUACCAGAAAACUCAGUGGCAUAAAGCAGCCAUUUGAUGUGCUCAUGGAUUCCAUGAAAGGCAUAGCAGGGUUCCAUAGCUGAGGAAACUCAGAAGAACUGGAAGCUGGCAAAGUGUGUGGGGGUGUCUGUGGGUAACUCUAUUUAUGCUUUUCCUCAUGGUCGUUCCAGUAUGGUGGCUUUAGGGUAGCAAGACUUCCUAUGUGCCAGCUCAGGCUCCCAAAGUGCAUGUCCCAGGAGAAAGCCAGGGAGAAGC
rnacentral:lncRNA from 1 species